rnacentral:tRNA from 1 species
UAUAGCUCAAUUGGUAGAGCUCCUGGCUCUUAACCAGGAGGUUCAGGGUUCGAGUCCCUGU